CAGAAUGAUGAAAACCGGGAGAGGGUGCACCAGAUUGACCAGUAUAGGAAGAAGCAAAAGAUCUUCCCGAACCAUCCGGUA